rnacentral:misc_RNA from 1 species
GUGAAUCAUCAAAUUUUUGAACGCAAAUUGCACUCUCUUCGGAGAGUAUGCCUGUUUGAGGGUCAGCCUAAAAAAAAAUCGAAAUAGUCGCUGUUUCGAGGUGACAUUUGUCGGAAAUUGGGUCAUUUUAAACCUUUUGGUUUUAAGCGGCUUAAAAUUAUCUUUUCGAUUUCACGAACGUUUCUAAGUUUUUACUUCUUAUAAGUUUAAGGUAUCGAUCUUUAUUAGACGUGGCCGUUGCAUCGGUAAGCGGCCAUA